GACGAACGCUGGCGGCGUGCUUAACACAUGCAAGUCGAACGGAAAGGCCCUGCUUGCAGGGUACUCGAGUGGCGAACGGGUGAGUAACACGUGGGUGAUCUGCCCUGCACUUCGGGAUAAGCUUGGGAAACUGGGUCUAAUACCGGAUAGGAACCAUCUUUAGUGUGGUGGUUGGAAAGUUUUUUCGGUGUAGGAUGAGCUCGCGGCCUAUCAGCUUGUUGGUGGGGUAAUGGCCUACCAAGGCGGCGACGGGUAGCCGGCCUGAGAGGGUGUACGGCCACAUUGGGACUGAGAUACGGCCCAGACGCCUACGGGAGGCAGCAGUGGGGAAUAUUGCACAAUGGGCGCAAGCCUGAUGCAGCGACGCCGCGUGGGGGAUGAAGGCCUUCGGGUUGUAAACUCCUUUCGCUAGGGACGAAGCUUUUUGUGACGGUACCUAGAGAAGAAGCACCGGCUAACUACGUG
rnacentral:rRNA from 1 species